GCAGUGUGUAGCAGCGAGAUUCCUAGAUGUGAGAAGUGUGCAGGAGGACCUGAGAGAAAGGAAUGUGUAGUAUUGAUGCAAAAAGUUGUGUGUGUAAACUGUAGGGGUACACAUGGUGCUUGAGAUCAGACGUGUCCGGUGAGAGAAAGACAGGUUGAGGUUACCAGGAUCAGAGUAGCGCAGAAGGUGUUGUAUGCUGAGGCAGUGAAGAGAGUAGUAGAGGAAGAUGGGUCCAGGGUGAAGGAUCCUGAGAGGAUCCCUGUGAUUAGACUGAGGUCAAUAGAGAGUGAUAGGAAUAACAUGCUUCAGUAAGAUUCAUUUUUUUGGCGUUCAUGGCCAUGGUUGUCAACCGUACCACAGGAAUAUAAUGUAAAUAACAGUGGAUAGAUGUUGUGGCAGCUGUUGAGAAUACUUGGGUGUACAAUAUUUUACUGCAGAGUUACAAGGUGUUUUGAAAGAUAAUAUCCCGUCCUCUCAGGCUGCUGGCCUGAUGUAGGAUCAGAGAGCUAAAGUAGUGGAAUAUUGAUGAGGUUUUAAUGGGUGUAGGGUUUGUUGGUUUUUCACAAAGUGCAAUGAAUUAAUACUACAGAAUAGUAGGCUGAUGCACAGCCAAUACACUAGGUGGGGGCGUGCACCUAUAAUAAUUGUUUGCGGACCGCCAUAACACCAGUUCUGCUCUGGAUCUGGUCUGUAAAGCGUAACGCGUGUUUAGCAGAUGUUAUUGCGGGUGUAGCGAAAUGCUUGUAAUACACAGACUACUGCGAAGGUUGCAUUGCUGUAAAUGCUGCAUGGUUCGCUGCACGUAUAGCUGCUGUAAAUACCCAGGUAUUUUAUAGGCUACCGUUACUGGGCAUCAGACAAUUAAAACUAGCUGGACUCUCGUGUAGAGUUAGACGAUAACAGACAUCAGGAUUCUUAGUGAAUAGGAUGUUGGACGUUUAAUUGACUUGAAUAGAUUAAAAUCUUAUCCAGGAUCUUUCUGAAGUAAGAUUAGGCUACAUCAGACAUAUAUUUGUCACAACGUAAAUCGAGUGUUGAUAUUUAAAUUUACGUUUGCUCUGGUCUAGCUUUAUCUGAACGCUGUGACAAGGAAGUAACUGUAGUCUUGGCUAGCUACAGAUUUACUGUCACGUUUUUUUAUUUGAAGAAACGCUGAAGAAAGAAAAGCUAACUAUGGAUCGGGACAGAGCUAGCCCGUCCCCCUCCAACCUGCCAGAGUCCCCUGGUCGCAACUCUCCUGGUAGCGCCUUACUGCUGGGUCUGAAGAGGGUGUCAGUGCGGCUGGUCGACUGCAGGAAAACAGCAGGGCAGAGUGGAACUGUGAGAGAAGGACACGAUGGAGAUUUGAUUUCAUCAAGUAAAAACAAUGGGGGGAAACCCCAUACCGUUCUCUCAGUGGGAGGGGCUUAUCAUCUGGGGAGCCUCAACAGCAUCAUGUUGCUGACGAGACAGAGAAGAGUCUCUCCAGAUCAGAACAUCUCAAGAAGCACCAGCAGAGACGUACAGGGAAGAAACCUCACCACUGCUGUUCUGACUGUGGGAAGAGAUUCACAAGCCAGAGUGGCUUCAUUAUUCACUGUGAUCAGUGUGGGAAGAGUUUUGCUGCAUCAAACACCUUCAAAUCUAAUGUAAGAAUUCGUACCAGGGAGAAGUCUUACCCCUGCCUUGAUUGUGGGGAAAGCUUUGUUAGUGCAGGAGCCUUAACCAUACACCAGCGUGUACACACUGGAGAGAAGCCUUAUAGCUGUGAUCAGUGUGGAAAGAGCUUUACUGUAUCAGAACAACUAACCAAACACCAGCACAUACAUACAGGAGAGAAGCCUUAUAGCUGUGAUCAGUGUGGAAAGUGCUUUACUCGAUCAGGGAACCUGAAUUCACACCAGCGAACACACACUGGACAGAAGCCUUAUAGCUGUGAUCAGUGUGGGAAGAGCUUUGCUGCAGCUUCCACCCUGACUGCACACCAGCGAACACACACUGGAGAGAAACCUUAUAGCUGUGAUCAUUGUGGAAAGAGCUUUGCUCAAUCAGGGACCCUGAAUUCACACAAGCUAACACACACUGGUGAGAAAGAAGCCUUAUAUCUGUGAUCAGUGUGGGAAGCGUUUCAGACAGUCGGGGACCCUAUAUUCACACCAGUGAACACACACUGGAGAAGGAACCUUAUGUCUGUCUAGUUGGGAAGAACUUUGUUUAUUUAGGGCCAAUGAGGAAACACCAGAAAGCACAAACUUGCUGUAUUUUGUCUCCCUCCCUUCUGGAACCGGUUCCAGAUCCCUAAAUAAAGGAUCAAUAGAAAACAUCUAGUGAACACUCAUAUCCAUCUCCCAUUGUUAAACAGUUGACUUAGUCUGAUCACCAUUUUAACCUCUGUGGAGAAUAAUAUGCAGUUCUGAUCUAGGAUCAGGUCUCCCCUGUGUCUAUGUAAUAUCACACAUUGGGAUCUAAAUGAAUAAAUGUUAUCAUAGAAAAUGUCAUAGUGAACCUGUGUGGGGGAGGGGGGGGGUUGAUAAUUGUAUCUUCUUUCAUAUACUCAUGAUACUAUUAUUAUGAAAUGUCAUUAUGUAGAAUAAUGUUUCAACAAUAGGUGUAUAUUCAUGUAUUCAAUUGAUCAAUACAUUCAAUCCAUUAUCUUCUAAACAAGAAGUUAUCACUUAAAUUGUAUAUUUUAUAUAUCUAUAUUGAUUUAAAAUGCUCCUUAAACGAAUCAAUAAUACAUUGGAUAAUAAUAUCCAUGAGGUCAUGGCAAGAACUAUGCAUACUGUGUCUUGUAACAACGGUUAAUGUAAUAACUUUUAGAUUUAUAAUGUAAUAAAACCAGUAA